rnacentral:rRNA from 1 species
GACGAACGCUGGCGGCGUGCUUAACACAUGCAAGUCGAACGGAAAGGCCCUGCUUUUGUGGGGUGCUCGAGUGGCGAACGGGUGAGUAACACGUGAGUAACCUGCCCUUGACUUUGGGAUAACUUCAGGAAACUGGGGCUAAUACCGGAUAGGAGCUCCUGCUGCAUGGUGGGGGUGGGAAAUUUUCGGCGGGUGGGGAUGGUCUCGCGGGUUAUCAGCUUGUUGGUGGGGUGGUGGCUUACCAAGGCUUUGACGGGUGGCCGGCCUGGGAGGGUGACCGGCCACAUUGGGACUGAGAUACGGCCCAGACUCCUACGGGAGGCAGCAGUGGGGAAUAUUGCACAAUGGGCGGAAGCCUGAUGCAGCAACGCCGCGUGCGGGAUGACGGCCUUCGGGUUGUAAACCGCUUUCGCCUGUGACGAAGCGUGAGUGACGGUAAUGGGUAAAGAAGCACCGGCUAACUACGUG